rnacentral:lncRNA from 1 species
UUGGGAUUUCUUUUUAUGGGACACACAAUUUUAGAGAGAGAGAAAAAUACAAAAUCAUCAUUAUCAAAGGGCAAAAAGCUAAGGUUUAAGACUUUUGGGAUUAAAGAAAUUUCUUAGUUCAAGAUCAAACUAUUUUCAUCAUCAAGAAUUCAUAACCCAGUUAUGAACUCUAUACUCUUUUUUAUUGUUUUUAUUUUGUUUAGUGUGAGUAGCUACAUUCAUAGUUAGGGUAAAUAAUAUAAUAUAUGCGUGAUAAUUUAGUUUAAUUUUCAAGAUUCUAGGAGUUUAAUUUUUAUAUGUGUUGAUUUUAUUUAUGGAUUUUGAUGCUUUGAAUUAUUUGUUCAAUAAUCCAAUGAUUUUAUGAAUAUAUAAUGAGUCGAGAGGUGAUUUAUAUAUUUAGACCACAUAGUAAAAUUCGGGAACUAAUAUAAAAGUGUAAAUAUACAUUCUCUAGUUAAUGCGAUCGUUACAAGAAUUCUUAGAAAUUUAAUACGUUUAACUAAGAUUUAUUCAAAUUUACAUAGAGAUUUGAAUUGACUUAGUUAAUUAAUAGAAUUAAUUUGAACUCAACAGAGAUCAAAUAUGUUAGAAGAAUUCAAUCGAUAACUAUAUGAAGUUGAGAAUCUUGAUUAGAGAAUUAAAGGGGAUCCGUAGGCAAAAUUAUAAGUCCUAAUAUUUACACUCAUACUUUAAAAAUUCAAACUUGAUAUCGUGUGCAUUUAGAUAAAAUUCGUAUAAUUAGAAUAUUUGAGAUCAAUCACAAAUCAUGGUUAGAAAUAGUAAAUGAAGUAUUAAAUUAUAGUUAUCGUGGGAAUGAUAACUUGGAUUCAUCCGUACAUUUAUAGAAUAUAAAAUCGACAAUCCAUACAUUGAAAUGAUUCAUUCAGUCUCUACCAUAGAAGUUUAGCCUUAAAUUGUACCAUGAAGAAAAAUAAAGACCCUGAAAUCUGCCACUGCACCACAAUGCAUAUAUUCACCAAAUAAAGUCCUCCCUGGUGGUUUUAUUAAAAGAAAUAAAUAAUAGAUGCGUCAAUUUCAUAGUAGAAACGUUGUUCCAAUCAAUACUGCGGGACAAUACUUUCAGCAUAAGAAAUUUAAAUAGCAUAACUAACUGUCCUAAUUCAAAAGCAUUAUAAGCAUGCUCAAAACUCAUUUAUGGUAAUCUAAUUUUCUCUAGUGAACAAUUUACUAGUACAAAGAAAAUAAAAAUUAUAAAUUCUUAAACAUAAGUUUAUGAUUCUGUUUUCUAGUUUAAUCACAUAAAUAUUUAAUAGCAGAAUAAUUAUAAUUUGAAGCAAUGCGCCUCCAAAAUAAAAAUAGGGAGUAUCUUAAGUAAUAAAAACAAACAGAAAAAUAUAUAGUUUAACGAUAUAGCCCUUUUUAGGUUGUAGCUAACUGUCGCAUGUUUAGUAAAUUUUGAUAAAAAUUGAUGAAGUGUGUGAUUGAAAAGUUGUGAUUCUCAUUAAAUAUAUUGUUAAAGUAAAUUACAGAUUUUAUAAAUUUUAAUCCAUUAUUUGAACUACACCAAAAAAAAGGAUAUAAUGACAUUUUUAAAUAUAGUAAUGCAUGGUUAGGGAGAUAAAAUGCCACCAAAACGUACAGCAAACACAGCGGGAAUAGUAGAUAAAUUCGCGCUAUGAAGACUGAAGAGAAAAUGUCAAUUAACUUUGAUACGACCAAAUGCCAAUUUCUAGAAGAAAUAGACUUUCUGAACUUAGGAAACCUCAUGAUACAAUAUUUUUUGCUCACAAUUUAGAAUAUUCAAGUGCAUUGCAAAUAGCUCAUAUAUCUGUGUGUAUAUUAUAUUUACACACAAUUCUUUUAUUAAUUUCCUAAUUUCAAUUUGAUUCUUUUUCUUGAUUGAAUCAUGUCAUAUUCGUUCUAUUUGCAACUCGUACUAUACCCAUAUUAUUUCUAAACAUUUUCAUUCAUUUUCACAAAUUACUCCACCUUGACUCAUAUUUUCUGAAUCACAACACUUAUUUGCACCAUACUCGCACCUAUUGAUCAAUUGUCGUACAGUUUAUAAUCAAAGCCAUGAAAUCAAUUCAAAAAUUAGUUGAAUGUGACUACCUUUUGACCUCUUUCAACUUUGAUCUUCAUAUUCUUCUUGUACUAGCCAUGAAAUUCUUCAUGGUCACUUCUUAUUCUCUCGCAAUAGAGGAAGUCUUUCCUUGGUUGGACCCUUUUUGUAGAGGAUUUUUAAAUGUAUAAUUAAAAGUACAUAUGAACAACAAUAUUACUAUUUAAAACACAUGGAAAAUUGUUUAAUUGAAAACUUGACGUCUGUUAUAAACUCAAUUUUAGAUUAAUAUAUGCUAUUCCAACUUUUAAUAUUAUUUUUUUUUAAUCUAAAAUUGAAAAAUGCAGUUUAUAAGCAUUUAAUUUCACAUCCCUAGUUAUUGUGAAGGAUAUAGAUCGUUUAAGAAAGAGAAUCUUUGGUUUCUUAUAGUCAUUUAAUCGGACUAAUUCUUCAUCAAACUUUUCUUUAGUCAUUCCUUGCUUACUUUUAGAAUUGGAGACUAAGACUGAAACUUCUCUGGCAUACCCAAAAUAGUCUAAGUUUGGAAACCCAAGACCCAUUAGCACAAGGCUGCCUUCUUUUGUGGGAUGGAUACCUAAAUCGGUAUUAGGCUCAUCCUUGACAAGCAUUAUGCAGUCAUACAUAGGAGGAUUGAUAUCGUUUUACUGGAGACGACACUAAUUUUGAAUAGAUUACAUCGUGAAUUCUUUCAGACCCUUAGUUUCACUUGGUUGGGAUCUUACAUUUGAUCCAAUCAAGUCUGAUCUUUGAUUGGAUUACAUUUAUUAAAGCUCAUUCAGUAGAACUGGAAGACAUUGAUUCAAAUUCAAAGCCAAAUGACUUGGAUAAUGAACCGAGGGAAGCCAUACCCUUAUGAUCAAUACUAACUAGCUACUAUAAGUCAUAUGGCUGGUGUUUCUAAUAUCUUCCACACAUAAAAAAAAUGUCUUUAGCAGAAGUCGAUGAAAUCAAAUUUGAUUAAAAAUUUUACCUCAUUCAAAAAAUUCAUGGAUUAAUGUUUAUUAUAAGGGGGCACAAUUACUAAAUAAGACCAUUGAAAGAUUAAUUCCUAAAGCUGGAUUUAGGGGCAUCAUUCCGAGGAGGAUUGGAGCUUGUUCCACCAUCAGUCAUGCAGCGGCUCUACAGAUGUAAUGAUAGGGCAUAUGUUGAAUGUGUUCUUGGAUCUUCACGAGAUGAAAAGAAUGUAUUAUCAAUGAGAGGCAAAAUGUGUUGGGAAGAAUUUAUAAAUCAAAUAAUAUGUGGUAGUUGAAUCUUGGAAUCAAUGAAUGUUUUUGAUCAUCAAACAAUUGAUCUCUAUGGAAUAAAUCUGAUUCAACACACUUUUGGAUGUCCCACAGGGUGUAUAUUUAUAAUGGUUAGUGUUUGGGAUGAAAAGAGAUUGAAAAACCAAGUGUUUGACGCAAAAUAAGAUUUUGAAUGUUGACGUGCUGCUAGAGCGCCAAGCUAGCGACAAGCGAGCGAUAGCUGAGCAAUUACUAGUAUUUUCAUAAUAACUUUCUCUCUCGAUAUCGGAUCGAGGUGAUUCAAAAUGGGUUGGAAAGCUAUCUCAAACAGAUACAAUUUAUCUAUAAUAGCAUCGUCCAAAUUCCAAAGUUAUUUAUGUGAAAAAUGCAUUUCAAUUUAUAUCUGAGAAUUUGGAACAUAAUGCGGCUCUUUGACACUACAUUCCCUUUAUCAUAUUUGAUCUUCUCGGGCAUCUUUGACAUCUUGAACACCUUCAAGACCUAUAUUGCCAAUCCUUAACUAUUUUAACUUUGAUUAUAACUCGAUAAAUACCUAAUAUAAUUCAAUUAGGACUUGAUUUUGUCUACAGAAUUGCAAAUGCAACAUAAAUCCUAACAGCAUAUUAUCCCAGGUGGGAGUGGAUCUAGUACCAUCAUUAGUACUUCUAGGUGCUGGGUAUUGGGAAAUAAGUCCUACAAUUGAACCCAUAGGACACGAUACCCAAGGUUGGACUGGAACCAGUUUCAGCAUCAAGUGGAGUGCUAAAACUUUGAAUAAAACUGGUGUUGUGAUCCAACAAGUUGAUAGACCUAUGCCUAUCCUAAGAGUGUGAUGAUAUGGAAAAUGGUGAUCAAAAUAUACCUAUUUUGUUAGAAAGACCAUUCUUAAAGAUAUCCAAAACUAAAAUAGAUGAUCAUAGUGACAUGCUGACCAUGGAAUUUGAUGGUGAAAUUGCUAAAUUCAAUAUCUAUGAUUCCAUAAAAUGUCCUGAUGAUUAUAAUCUCGUUUAUUCUAUUGAUAUGAUUGAUUGUUUAGCACAUGAUGUUUUCAAAUUGGAGGGAAAGGAUGGAUCGGAAGUUGCCACUAAUAAGCAUCUUGAGAAAAAUAAUAAGCGGUUAACAUUGAGCACUGACUUGCAGGAAACCGUUGCAGCAUUGAAUGCUUCUCCAACGUUACAGCAGUCAGGUAACAUUUCUCAUAUUGCAUUUCCAAUUGCUAACGAGAGGCCUUUCUCUGUAGGUUUUUAAAUGGAGAACAUGACAAAAUCGAGCCUUAGGAAUCCAAUUGAUGCCAGUUGAAGAAGGAAAUAAGUCUAGCCAAAGGCAAUAAACAAAGACCCUGCUUGGAAGGCAUCUCGAGGGGAGUUCGUUCCUUUAUCUUUUUAUUUUUGCAUUCAUAUUUUGUUUAUUUUUGUCAUUUUCUUUGCAUUUCACCUU